ACGAACGCUGGCGGCGUGCCUAAUACAUGCAAGUCGCACGCUUCUUUCCUCCCGAGUGCUUGCACUCAAUUGGAAAGAGGAGUGGCGGACGGGUGAGUAACACGUGGGUAACCUACCCAUCAGAGGGGGAUAACACUUGGAAACAGGUGCUAAUACCGCAUAACAGUUUAUGCCGCAUGGCAUAAGAGUGAAAGGCGCUUUCGGGUGUCGCUGAUGGAUGGACCCGCGGUGCAUUAGCUAGUUGGUGAGGUAACGGCUUACCAAGGCCACGAUGCAUAGCCGACCUGAGAGGGUGAUCGGCCACACUGGGACUGAGACACGGCCCAGACUCCUACGGGAGGCAGCAGUAGGGAAUCUUCGGCAAUGGACGAAAGUCUGACCGAGCAACGCCGCGUGAGUGAAGAAGGUUUUCGGAUCGUAAAACUCUGUUGUUAGAGAAGAACAAGGACGUUAGUAACUGAACGUCCCCUGACGGUAUCUAACCAGAAAGCCACGGCUAACUACGUG
rnacentral:rRNA from 1 species